AUGAACGCUGGCGGCGUGCCUCAUACAUGCAAGUCGAGCGAACAGACGAGGAGCUUGCUCCUCUGACGUUAGCGGCGGACGGGUGAGUAACACGUGGAUAACCUACCUAUAAGACUGGGAUAACUUCGGGAAACCGGAGCUAAUACCGGAUAAUAUAUUGAACCGCAUGGUUCAAUAGUGAAAGACGGUUUUGCUGUCACUUAUAGAUGGAUCCGCGCCGCAUUAGCUAGUUGGUAAGGUAACGGCUUACCAAGGCGACGAUGCGUAGCCGACCUGAGAGGGUGAUCGGCCACACUGGAACUGAGACACGGUCCAGACUCCUACGGGAGGCAGCAGUAGGGAAUCUUCCGCAAUGGGCGAAAGCCUGACGGAGCAACGCCGCGUGAGUGACGAAGGUCUUCGGAUCGUAAAACUCUGUUAUUAGGGAAGAACAAAUGUGUAAGUAACUAUGCACGUCUUGACGGUACCUAAUCAGAAAGCCACGGCUAACUACGUG
rnacentral:rRNA from 1 species